GCCCGCGUGGCGGAAUGGUAGACGCAGCGGAUUCAAAAUCCGCCGGCCGAGAGGCCAUGCCGGUUCGAGUCCGGCCGCGGGUACCA
rnacentral:tRNA from 1 species